rnacentral:rRNA from 1 species
CCUACGGGAGGCAGCAGUGAGGAAUAUUGGUCAAUGGGCGCGAGCCUGAACCAGCCAAGUAGCGUGAAGGAUGACUGCCCUACGGGCUGUAAACUUCUUUUAUAAAGGAAUAAAGUGAGGCACGUGUGCCUUUUUGUAUGUAUUUUAUGAAUAAGGAUCGGCUAACUCCGUGCCAGCAGCCGCGGUAAUACGGAGGAUCCGAGCGUUAUCCGGAUUUAUUGGGUGUAAAGGGAGCGUAGAUGGGUUGUUAAGUCAGUUGUGAAAGUUUGCGGCUCAACCGGAAAAUUGCAAGUGAAACUGGCAGCCUUGAGUACAGGUGAGGUAGGCGGAAUUCGUGGUGUAGCGGUGAAAUGCGUAGAUAUCAGGAAGAACUCCGAUUGCGAAGGCAGCCUACUGAACUGCAACUGACGUUGAUGCUCGAAAGUGUGGGUAUCAAACAGGAUUAGAUACCCCAGUAGUC